rnacentral:siRNA from 1 species
CAAAAUCAUUAAGGGUAAUUUGGU